rnacentral:rRNA from 1 species
GCUCAGAUUGAACGCUGGCGGCAGGCCUAACACAUGCAAGUCGAGCGGUAGCAGGGAGAAAGCUUGCUUUCUUCGCUGACGAGCGGCGGACGGGUGAGUAAUGUCUGGGGAUCUGCCUGAUGGAGGGGGAUAACUACUGGAAACGGUAGCUAAUACCGCAUAACGUCGCAAGACCAAAGUGGGGGACCUUCGGGCCUCAUGCCAUCAGAUGAACCCAGAUGGGAUUAGCUAGUAGGUGAGGUAAUGGCUCACCUAGGCGACGAUCCCUAGCUGGUCUGAGAGGAUGACCAGCCACACUGGAACUGAGACACGGUCCAGACUCCUACGGGAGGCAGCAGUGGGGAAUAUUGCACAAUGGGCGCAAGCCUGAUGCAGCCAUGCCGCGUGUAUGAAGAAGGCCUUCGGGUUGUAAAGUACUUUCAGUAGGGAGGAAGGUGUGCGUGUUAAUAGCACGUACAAUUGACGUUACCUACAGAAGAAGCACCGGCUAACUCCGUGCCAGCAGCCGCGGUAAUACGGAGGGUGCAAGCGUUAAUCGGAAUUACUGGGCGUAAAGCGCACGCAGGCGGUUUGUUAAGUUGGAUGUGAAAUCCCCGGGCUUAACCUGGGAACUGCAUCCAAGACUGGCAAGCUAGAGUCUCGUAGAGGGAGGUAGAAUUCCAGGUGUAGCGGUGAAAUGCGUAGAGAUCUGGAGGAAUACCGGUGGCGAAGGCGGCCUCCUGGACGAAGACUGACGCUCAGGUGCGAAAGCGUGGGGAGCAAACAGGAGUAGAUACCCUGGUAGUCCACGCUGUAAACGAUGUCGAUAGAGAGGUUGUGCCCUUGAGGCGUGGCUUCCGAAGCUGUACGCUUUAA